rnacentral:rRNA from 1 species
ACUCCUACGGGAGGCAGCAGUGGGGAAUUUUGCGCAAUGGGGGAAACCCUGACGCAGCAACGCCGCGUGGAGGAUGAAGUCCUUUGGGACGUAAACUCCCUCGACCGGGACGAUAAUGACG